AAAAUAAUCCUACCCUUUGUGAAUUUUGUUGUUUGAAUAAUUUUUUUUUUAAAAAAUUAUUGGAGUCUUUCCCUUUAGAGUUUGCUUUUGAGUUUGUAAAAGAAUUCGAAAACAUCUAAAGGGGAUGGUCAAUAAUUUUUUUGAAAAAAGACAUUUUUUAAAAUUAAACUUUUUGUAUUCAUUUGUCUAAAAAUUAUUUUUAUAAUAUAAAAACAACUUUUGACAAUGGAUCUCUUGGUUCUCGCAACGAUGAAGAACGCAGCAAAAUGCGAUAAGUAGUGUGAAUUGCAGGAUACGUGAAUCAUCGAAUCUUUGAACGCAUAUUGCACUUUUUUAGUUUACUAAAAAAGUAUGUCUGUUUGAGUAUCAGUAAAAUAUUCUCAUAAAAAUCAUUGUGUAUUUUUAUGGUUAUGAGUGUUUUACAACGAUACAAGUUGUUUCACUUUAAAUUUUUUUUUAAUAUUGAAAUUUUUCUAAUUUUAAUAAUUAAAAUUGGAUAAAAUUUUCCCGUCAAAAGGAAUAACCUAAACAAUUUUAAAUGAUUAAUUUUAGCAAAUUUUCGUAAAAAAGGAAAAUUCUUAUUAAAAUAACUUGAUCUCAAAUCAGAUAAGAGUACCCGCUGAACUUAAGCAUAUCAAUAAGCGGAGGAAAAGAAACUAACAAGGAUUCCCUUAGUAACGGCGAGUGAAGCGGGAAGAGCUCAAAUUUGAAAUCUUCAAGGUUUUACCUUGACGAAUUGUAGUUUAAAGAAGUGUUUUCUGCUGAAGUUUUGGUAAAAGUUCUUUGGAAUAGGACAUCAUAGAGGGUGAGAAUCCCGUAUUUGACCAUUAUUUCAGCUUUGUGAUACACUUUCAAAGAGUCGGAUUGUUUGGGAAUGCAGUCCAAAAUGGGUGGUAAAUUUCAUCUAAAGCUAAAUAUUGGCGAGAGACCGAUAGCGAACAAGUACCGUGAGGGAAGAUGAAAGAACUUUGAAAAGAGAGUUAAACAGUACGUGAAAUUGUCAAAAGGGAAGCGUUUGACACCAGUGUUGUUUUCUCGAAAAUCAAUUAAAAAUGGCUCGAUUUGUAUUGCUUGAGACCUUAAAAGCUCACUGUACAUUUUUCGUGUCUUUUUUAAUGCACUUUUCGUUUAACAAGUCAACAUCAGUUUCUUUUGUUGUAAAAGGGUCAUUGGAAGGUGGCUUUCUUUUCGGAGAAAGUGUUUAUGGCCUUUGGCCUCUGCAAUCGAGAGACUGAGGUCUGCAGCGUAGACUCUUCGGGGUUAGAUACAUUUGUGCUAAGUUAUAGCUUUUUAUAGACAACUUGUUGACUAUAAUUAGUCUUGUAGCUUACUCGCUUAUGCUAUUUACCUACGCUUAGGAUG
rnacentral:misc_RNA from 1 species